rnacentral:ncRNA from 1 species
AUCGAAGAGGCGCGACCAACAUUAGUAAGUAAUUUUAGCCUGCCGAGCAAUGAGAAUUAUUGAAAGGGGCGGCCGCCGAAGUACUUAAUCUGGCACGGUUAGGGGACUGGGGCGUGACUGAACAAGCCACGGACUGUCGUGGGACAAUAUUCAGCCCACGUUGCGCUAUC